rnacentral:rRNA from 1 species
GCAUAAUAAAUAGUUUUUUAAUUGGAAACUGGGAUGAAGGGUAGAAAUUUAAUAGGAAUUGGUUUUAUUUAAUAAGUUUGAAUUUAAAUUAAAGGUAAAAAUGCUUUUAUUAAUUUUUGGGACGAGAAGACCCUAGAAGCUUUAAAAUAAAGAAAAAUUUUUUGGUUGGGGUAACUAAUGAAGAUAUUAAUUUUUAUAAGGAAUAAAUAUAGUAAUGAAGUUACUCUAGGGAUAACAGCGUUAUUUAAUUAGCAAGUUCUUAUUAAUAAUUAAGUUUGCGACCUCGAUGUUGAAUUAAUA